rnacentral:siRNA from 1 species
UACCGACGACAAAAAUCCCUCGG